UAUCAAAAGAGUCGUUGUAGUAUAGUGGUAAGUAUUCCCGCCUGUCACGCGGGUGACCCGGGUUCGAUCCCCGGCAACGGCGCUUAUCCUCCUUUUUAGAGAAAAUUUUAUUUAAAAAAUGUGCACUACGUAACUUUGUUCCUUCUGCAAAACACUUUCGUUGUUGCGUAAUAUGGAAGAAGACGGUAGCCAGAGAACCCACGCCAAACUCCAUUCUAAUUCUAAUCUUCAAAACUUCAAUGUACGACCACAGAUUUCGGACCGCACAAGAAAAUGAAGGGAAAGGUUCUAUUUUCUGAUAACAAAGAAAAUGCUUUCCCUACUAAAUUCUCCUCCGCCGGCCCCGGCGAAGUCAAGCCGGAAAACGUUUCCGUCGCGUCUUUUCGACGACGUGCGUUAAGCAGGACUAGCAUUCAUAUACUUGCAUUGGACGGUGUCGUUAAUGUAAAUUCCCUUUUCACCUUAGCUCUCUUCCUCGGACUUAAUUGGUACCCAACGUUCGAUCCCCAAACCACACUCAUUGACGUUGCCGAUUUGGCUUGCUCUGCCGGCUCCGAUGUCACUGAGGGCCUCAUCACCUACCACGUGUACUCCUUCAGCUCAUUCCUUUUCUCGAGCCUCAUCGCUCUGACCCUGAAACAGGCGAUUACGAUCAGCGAAGGCAGUGGACCUGGUGAUCUUGAGGGUUUCCACCUAGGGCACGUGAACCGGGUGGCUUUGAGAUUGGGGAUGAUGGUUUCGGCUAUUGGGUCGGUUUUCGGAUGUGGGUUUUUGAUGCUGGCUUUGGUGGAUUUGGUUCAGAUCAAAUUGGGGAUUUUGGCUUGUGGGAGUGUCUAUACGUUUGCUGCGGUUGUUCCUUUGGUUAUUUUGGUCCCUGUGGCGCUAAUCGUCUAUGUUGGUCUUGUGCUUCAUGCCUUCACUCGCUAAAGGAUGUCAUAAUGAUUGUUGCGGGUCGGCUACACCAAGAACCAAAGGGAUUCAAGAUUUUCUUAGUAAAGUGAGCAAUUAAGGGAUUCUUUGGGCAAGAUUUCUUAGUCCAAUCAAGGGCAUGUAAAUCAUCGAGCAAUAGUUUCCACUCAGGUUGACCGGCACACCUGAAUUCGGAAUCAAGGUAAGGGCAAUGCUAAAGCUAAACAGCAGUGAGGAAGAGCGGAUGAAGAUUGUACAUAUUAGGCAGUUAGACCUGGAGUGUUCGAUCUUUGGGACAACAAGCUUUAUUUGGAUAGCCAAUAGGCUACAUCUUUUGUAACUAAAUAUUUUCUAAAGUAGUUGUAACUUUUAAAAAAUAGGAUCUCAAAUUAAAAUGCCAUCCUAUAUUAUGUAAAGUAUUUAUAUAUUCAAGCUUAAUGUUUAAUUAAGAAGUUUUAAUUUAA